UUGUACACAUACAAGUUGACACUAUAUCUGUCUCACGUCUCUGUCAUGACCACCUUCUGCCGCGCUGCAAACAACUCAACACCGCAAUGCACACAAACAAGCACAAGGUCCGACUUGGGGAAACUGACGUGACCGCUUCAAAGUCUGCAUUUUCAGACAGCCUGGUUGACAUUGAACACUCCUGUCAACAUGAACUGACCUCUUUGCGACCAGACCAGGAAUGUCAUGUUUACUGUACAAGGAAGGGUACGUCAGUUGAACGGCUGUCUCCAAAUCAAAAAGAUGUCUUAGGCUCCUUUAUGCUACUUUGUUAUGGAUAAUUAGAAUUGUGCAAGCACAUCAAAAAAGGUUCAAACAUGCUAGGAUCAACCUCAGGGCAAGAUUGUUCCUCUUCACUCCAGGUGUACAAGGCGAUCAGUUAUACAGGUCGAUAGCAGAGUAAACAUGUCCUAUUGGGAAUGUAUCUUGAUAUGUGUUUUUACUCUCAAAAUUGCUUGCUGUGUGUGUCUCUGGAUUGCAUCUUGAUGGGACUGAGAGAUCAGCCUUGGGAGCUUGACUCCCAUGCCGCUCUGUGGGAAAAGAAUCCGAACAGGAGAAUGGCAAACAAACCUUGGAGUUCAAAACCAUCAUGCAUGACAUCAACAAAUCUCAAGAGACUCGGUGUCAGCUGGGAUACGCGUCAGCUCGUCGAGUGACCCUAAUGAGGAAAAGCUGUAGAAGGUGGAUGGAUGGGUGUUAUAUCAGUGUGAUCAAAACAAAUCUGAAAAGGCAUACUCAGUUUCAAUAUUUAUUCAGGACUACCUAAAAAAUGAAACAAUCAAUGAUGGCAUAAUUAUUAAAUAAAGCAUCUUAAUUUCAUGUGUUGAAUUUUACCAAAAGCAGAUGUGGCAAUUCACAAUUUAUAUUUCCUACAAUGCAAUACUUCCCAAACAAGUGAAAACCCAUUAUGUAAAGUAAGAGAUGAUGAUAAGUGUUGCUUAAUAGCGCCAAGUCCCCAAAAUUCUACGCAGUUCAGUUUUUAUUGGGUCACUGUAUGAGUAAAUUGCUGUCAUCUGCGUUGUAUUCUUCACAAAAGAUACACAGUAUAUUAGUUUAUAUAUACAGUACUGUGCCAUAUGUCAGUGUAAUGGUCAUAGGGGAGCAACGACAUUUGGGAUGUAGAUUUUGAGUUUAGAAAGGGAAGUGGAAAUAGACGCUCUUGCCGCUUUUUUUGAACUCUGCUGCCACCUAUUGGAAUUUAUUUACAAUUACACAAUGGGACAUGAGAGACUCCCCAGAAAAUA